rnacentral:rRNA from 1 species
CGUAAGCGAAAGGAAAGACGACAUGGCGGGAUCCAGAGUACAUCGAGACACGAGAAACCUUGAUGGAAUGAGCGGGGACCACCCCGUAAGCCUAAAUACUCCUUAGUGACCGAUAGCGCAUAGUACUGUGAAGGAAAGGUGAAAAGGACCCCGGGAGGGGAGUGAAAGAGAACCUGAAACCCUGUGUUUACAAGCUGUGGAACAUCUUUAUAUGAUGAACCGCGUACUUUUUGUAGAACGGUCCGGCGAGUUACGCGUGCCGGCAAGGUUAAGCACUUAAGGUGUGGAGCCGAAGAGAAAUCGAGUCUGAACAGGGCGUUCAGUCAGCACGCGUAGACCCGAAACCGGGUGAUCUACCCAUGUCCAGGUUGAAGUUGCCGUAAAAGGCAAUGGAGGACCGAACGCACAUCCGUUGAAAAGGGUGGCGAUGAGGUGUGGGUAGGGGAGAAAUUCCAAUCGAACCCGGAGAUAGCUGGUUCUCCUCGAAAUAGCUUUAGGGCUAGCCUCAUUUUAGUCUUAUGGAGGUAGAGCACUGAAUUUCCGCGGGGGCGUCAAAGCUUACCAAAGAAUAUCAAACUCCGAAUGCCAUGUAGAUGAUGAAUGGGAGUCAGACUGCACGAGAUAAGUUGGGUGGUCAAAAGGGAAAGAGCCCAGACCUACAGCUAAGGUCCCAAAGUGCGUGUUAAGUGGAAAAGGAUGUGGGAUUUCAAAGACAACCAGGAUGUUGGCUCAGAAGCAGCCAUACAUUCAAAGAGUGCGUAACAGCUCACUGGUCGAGAGGU